AGGGAAUAUUGCAAAAUGGGCGAAAGCCCGAUGCAGCAACGCCGCGUGGGCGAUGAAGGCCUUCGGGUCGUAAAGCCCUUUUUGAGGGGAUGAGGAAGGACAGUACCCUCAGAAUAAGCCUCGGCUAACUACGUGCCAGCAGCCGCGGUAAAACGUAGGAGGCGAGCGUUAUCCGGAUUUACUGGGCGUAAAGCGCGUGCAGGCGGAUUGGAGAGUUGGAUGUGAAAGCUCCCGGCUUAACUGGGAGAGGUCGUUCAAUACUUCCAGUCUUGAGUGCAGUAGAGGGAAGUGGAAUUCCGGGUGUAGUGGUGAAAUGCGUAGAUAUCCGGAGGAACACCAGUGGCGAAAGCGGCUUCCUGAACUGUAACUGACGCUCAGACGCGAAAGCUAGGGUAGCAAACG
rnacentral:rRNA from 1 species